rnacentral:lncRNA from 1 species
GGGGAAUAACCGUUGAUGGACAUGAUUUAUGAUAGAACAUUGGGAGCACAUCUUCUAUCCCACAAAGUGUGUCACUCCAUGUGUCACUUUGUGUGAUUGGUUGAAAAAGUUGUAUUUAAGUUAAAAGUUUAAUGAUUAAGUAUUUUUCUAACCAAUCACAAGUGAUGGCACAUGGGGUGGCACACUUUGUGACACAGAAGAUGUGCUCCCUCGAACAUUAUGGCAUAUUUUUCGACCCUACCUAGUGAGAUUCAGGUUUGAUUAUUGUUAUAAGACUUCUAUUCAGACAUGAUGGAUAUUGAAAGUUUGAAACCAACAAUUUCUUAGGAGGGUAUCUAAACUGGGUUCCACAUCUUAAACAUAGAACCCUACCCUAUUCUCGAACCCUCUACCGAGCAUAACCCUGCCCACG